CGGGUUAAGUCCCAUAACGAGCGCAACCCUUACCGUUAGUUACCAUCAGGUUAAGCUGGGGACUCUAGCGGGACUGCCACGUAAGGUGAGAGAAGUGGGGAUGACGUCAAAUCAGCACGGCCCUUAUGUCCAGGGCUACACACGUGUUACAAUGGCCAGUACAAAGGGCAGCUACCGGGUGACCGGAUGCUAAUCUCUAAAGCUGGUCUCAGUUCGGAUCGAAGUCUGCAACCCGACUUCGUGAAGCUGGAUUCGCUAGUAAUCGCGCAUCAGCCAUGGCCGCGGUCGAAUACGUUCCCGGGCCUU
rnacentral:rRNA from 1 species